UUCAUGGAGAGUUUGAUCCUGGCUCAGGACGAACGCUGGCGGCGUGCCUAAUACAUGCAAGUCGAGCGGACCGACGGGAGCUUGCUCCCUUAGGUCAGCGGCGGACGGGUGAGUAACACGUGGGUAACCUGCCUGUAAGACUGGGAUAACUCCGGGAAACCGGGGCUAAUACCGGAGGCUUGAUUGAACCGCAUGGUUCAAUUAUAAAAGGUGGCUUCGGCUACCACUUACAGAUGGCCCCGCGGC
rnacentral:rRNA from 1 species